rnacentral:rRNA from 1 species
AUCCUACGGGGGGCAGCAGUGGGGAAUAUUGGGCAAUGGGCGCAAGCCUGACCCAGCAACGCCGCGUGAAGGAAGAAGGCUUUCGGGUUGUAAACUUCUUUUCUCAGGGACGAAGAAAGCGACGGUACCUGAGGAAUAAGCCACGGCUAACUACGUGCCAGCAGCCGCGGCAAUACGUAGGUGGCAAGCGUUAUCAGGAUUUACUGGGUGUAAAGGGCGUGUAGGCGGGAAAGCAAGUCAGAUGUGCAAACCACGGGCUCAAACUGUGGCCUGCAUUUGAAACUGUUUUUCUUGAGAAC